rnacentral:lncRNA from 1 species
UCUCUAUGGGGCAGCUAUGGGGCGGCUAUGGGUUCCUUAUGGGGUCCCUAUGGGGUUUCUAUGGGGUGUCUAUGGGGUCCCUAUGGGGUCUCUGUGGGGUCUCUAUGGGGCAGCUAUGGGGUGGGGUAUCUAUGGGGUCCCUAUGGGGUGGGGUGUCUACGGGUCCCUAUGGGGUCCCUAUGGGGUCUCUAUGGGGCAGCUAUGGGGUCUCUAUGGGGCAGCUAUGGGGUGUCUAUGGGGCAGCUAUGGGGUGGCUAUGGGGCAGCUAUGGGGUGUCUAUGGGGCAGCUAUGGGGCGGCUAUGGGUUCCUUAUGGGGUCCCUA